CAGGAGUCCCCAGAUAGAGUCCCACAUCUGGCUCCCAGCAUGGAGCCUGCUUCUCCCUCUAUGUCUCUCUCUCUCUCUCUCUCUCUCUCUCACACACACACACACACUCUGUGUGUGUGUGUGUGUCUCAUGAAUAAAUAAAUAAAAUCUUAAAAAAAAAUCAAGUUGUUAGUGGACAGAAAGUCAGUGUUGGCAACUGGAUUCAUGUCUGGGUGAAUGACAGAUUGCAUAGAAACCAUGCAGUUCCCUUGCCAUGUCAUUCAACAUCAUCCGGACACAUUCUCAAUUUGUGCUUCCAGCUCUGGGCUUGGUAACUUGGGAAGCAUAGGAGAACAAUGAAUUGGUUAGAUUUAGAUGAUAAACACCUGUCAAGAGAAGUUUUGCAAAUCCAUUCAUUUAUUUGCCCCCACCCUUGUCCAAUCUCCUGGUCACCUAUUACUACUCCACGUCCUGAGAGGCAGUAAAGCAUGAGAGCUCUGUCUAGAGUGGUCUUGAGCACCAUUUAUUGUGUAUGAUACUGGGCAAGUCACUUAACCUUUUGUGCCUCUGUUUUAUCAUCUGUAGAAUGGGAAUAAUGAUUCAGAGUUAUGAGAAUGGACUGAGUCAAUGCAUGGAAAAGACUCGGAGCAAUGCUUGGAACUGAGUCACUUGAUCCCAUUAGCUGCAACUACCAUUACUCUGCAGGAUGCUGGGAUUAUGAAGAAAAGGCUGCAGUCAGCUGGCAAACAACUUGCCCAGCCUCCUGCUGAAACAUCUGCUGAGGCUCCGCAGAUUGUGGUGUGUCCUCCCUCCCCGCAACCCACGGCCCGCCCCCACCCCCCCAUCCUCAGGCUGCUCAUUAACUCAUUAGAAGCUGCCUUAAUAGCCAUUGUGGGGAGGUUUUACUGUCUGCUGACCUUAGCUCAAAGCACCUGCUUCAGUGUCACCUGGAGACCUUGGCAAAUGGGUCCUCCCACAUCCAUACCCUGGCAUCACACACUGCUUUUCCUCCAUAGCGUUUAUGACAGCGUCAGGAAUCAGAACAUUUCUUGUGUAAAUCAUUGUGCAAUGCCUGCCUCCCACUCUGGAUAAGAAGCUCCCUGAGGGCAGAUUGUGCUGGGGUUUGUUCACGUUCAUUUGCCCCAUGCUUAGCUCAGAGUGUGACACUUCAUAGUAUUUACUGGAUGCUGAAUGCAUGGCUGCAUGAGUGACUGAAUGCACCGGUUUGAUGGAGAGCCACCCAGACAAACAGAGACAUUCCUCUUGAUUUUCAAAUUGUCCAUGUGAGAUUAAAGAAGGAUUUUCCCCCAACUGGGACUGACACUGUAGGUCUAGGUGUCAGGAUAUGUGUGCAAAUGCAUACAUGUGUAUACAACAGACAGCAAGUCUCUCCUGUUCUAAUCUAACAUACUCAGGGACUUCAGAGGAGGAGACUGGCCAGUUUCUGGUCCUGUGGGGCUACAUGUUAUUAGGGGAAAAAAGGGGAAAAAAGCAUUGACCAGAUAGGUUGAAGAUUUAGAGUCUGGUGCACACUCAGCCCCUCUUGGUGACCUGGGUGAUUGUGAGCUCACCACUUCUUCAUCUGCACAACACUGGCACCCGUAGCGAUCUUUGUAGCACCGCACUAGCACUAAGGUUGUCCACGUGGGGAAUGUGUCUCACCGACACAGAGCCAGGGUGCCAGCAGGCUGCCUUCUCAGCCCACAAAUGACAUAAAUAUCCCCGCCUAAACCAAACUCUUCCUUAGAUUUACAACUUUCAGACCUGAUGUUGCACAAUCAUUGUUGCCUUUUAUGACUUUGCUUCCCGGGUUUCUGUCUCUUGCGUAGUCUCCUUGUAGUGGCUUUAAAUUAUUGACACCUAACCGCAUGCCAGGCACUGUUCCAAGCACUUGACACAUAUCAGCUCAUUUCAACAAGGAUAAACUGCAGUCGCCCUAGGGUUUGCACACGUCAUGUGCUCAUAGUAACAGGCUGACCUGUGGCAUGUCAACUUCAUGUUUCUUGGGCCGAUGGCUAUGGCGUGGUGGCUGGAUUUUACAUUAAGGCAGCAUGGAAAGGUAACUUAAGUAUCUGAAUACUUAGGUGGGAGUGGAAGACAAAUGGGAGGGUCAGUGCCCUACAGUAAGUCACAAUGUGUCAGGCAAUUAGCCUGCAAGGAGUGUUUGACAACACUAUAUAAGAGAGAAUAUAUAAAGUGCUAAAUCCCUUGGCAUACUUUCUAAAUCCUCCAAGAGGUCAGGGAAGGGAGCGUCAACUGGCAGCCUGUGUAGCCCACGUGCUCCAUGCUUAUCUCCGGGUCCCCCUGGCAUCCUUCCUUUCUGGCCGGGCCUGUUACACAGCAAGAGCACACAAGCCAGGUGCCCUGUCCGCCAGAAGGUGAUUCUGGAAGCCCACUUUCCCGCAGCACACCUCUCCUCCCUGCAACACACCUCACUCUCGCUUCUUUGCUACUUAAAAUUUUAAACAGUCACCUUGACCCAAGAUAUUCAGAUGCCAUUUUUCUGAUGAUAAAAGUUUACACAGGUUCAUUCUAAAGGUUUGGAAAGCAUAGAAAAGUCUAAAGAAGAAGCAGGAAAACAAACAAACAAAUAAACCCAAACACAUUCAACUCUCA
rnacentral:lncRNA from 12 species